UGGUACUUGUCCGGCAAUAAAAGAGGGUGGUGAAGCUUGUUGCCACCUUGGAUUAGGUGCCGACUGCUGGCCUUGCAUUUGAUGUGAUCCUUGUCCAGCAACAAAAGAGGGUGGUGAAGCUUGUUGCCACCUUGGAUUAGGUUCUGACUGCUGGCCUUGCAUUUGAUGUGAUCCUUGUCCAGCAACAAAAGAGGGUGGUGAAGCUUGUUGCCACCUUGGAUUAGGUUCUGACUGCUGGCCUUGCAUUUGAUGUGAUCCUUGUCCAGCAACAAAAGAGGGUGGUGAAGCUUGUUGCCACCUUGGAUUAGGUUCUGACUGCUGGCCUUGCAUUUGCUGUGAUCCUUGUCCAGCAGUAUAAGACGGCGGUGAAGCUUGUUGCCACCUUGGAUUAGGUGCUGACUGCUGGCCUUGCAUUUGAUGCGAUCCUUGUCCAGCAACAAAAGUGGGUGGUGAAGCUUGUUGCCACCUUAGAUUAGGAUCUGCCUGCUGGCCUUGCAGUUGAUGUGAUCCUUGUCCAGCAACAAAAGAUGGUGGUGAAGCUUGUUGCCACCUUGGGUUAGGUGCUGACUGCUGGCCUUGCAUUUGUGAUGAUCCUUGUCCUCCAAUGAAAGAAGGUGAUGAAGCUUGUUGCUGUCCUCCAACGAAUGAGGGAGGUGAAUUUUGUUGCCACGUUGAAUUAAGAGCUGAAGGCCGACCUUGCACUUGUG
rnacentral:lncRNA from 1 species